AAUUAUAAAAUUUUUAUAUUAUUAAUUUUGUAUUAUAUUGAAUCUCUAUCAGUUUAGAUUAGAGAGAAUAAUUUAAAAAAUUAUUCUCAAAAAUUAUUCUCGCUGAUAACCUAACGGUAAUAAUGGCGAUUUAAAAUAUUUGGCCCGGGUAUAUUUAAAAAAGUUAAAAGACGACUUUUAUCAAAAAUAUUUUUUAAAGUAUUUAAACCCAUGAUAUGGCUUACCAUUCCAGUGGAUAUGCUUCCUUAUGGACAUUUCUUUCAUUGAAAUUGCCACAUAUAAAAGCGUGAAGUGUGAGAAAACGUGGGAAAAAUUACGUAUGAAAUCGUGAGAAUCACGGCUAAAUCGUGACAUCUGGCCUUGGUUAAAAGGCAUUGAGAGAAGAUUCCACAACCGAUACAAUGAUGAUAAUGUGCUUUCAUUCCAAUUUUAAACUAAACUGGCCAUGAAUUAACUUCGAUGAUGCUAAAAAUCAAGAUAGGCUCAUAGUAAAGCUGAAUAGUUUCAUAUAAAACAAAGAUUCCCUAGUUACAACCACAAAAACGACUUUCUCUGAUAAUAUUUUUGAUAAAGGAUACUAAUAUAAUAAAAAAUCCCCUAGACUAGUUUUUUAAUUCUAAAAAUACUCAUUUUGAUAAUUUUUUUUAUAAAAAUAUGUAUAUAAAGUUAAAUACUUCCUUGCCCACAAGUGCUAGUGUUCGCUCAAGAUUUGGGGAUGUUAGUAUAGAAAUGAUUUUAUUAUUAAAAUGCAACAAAAUAAAUAAAAAAUGAAUAUUACCAUAAAUAGUUAUUUUUAUUAUAUAAAUUAGUCUUUUUACAUAAAUUUUUUUAUAAUCAAAACUAACUAUAUUUAAAUAUAUAUAAUUGUUGAUUUUUUAUAAGCAAAAAAAAAACAAAUUUAUUUCUAAAUUAUUAAAAAGUAGUCAAAGCUACUUUUUAAUAAUAGUAACUAAUAGCGAGCU